rnacentral:rRNA from 1 species
UACGAAGGGUGCAAGCGUUACUCGGAAUUACUGGGCGUAAAGCGUGCGUAGGUGGUUCGUUAAGUCUGAUGUGAAAGCCCUGGGCUCAACCUGGGAAUGGCAUUGGAAACUGGCGACCUAGAGUGCGGCAGAGGGUAGUGGAAUUCCCGGUGUAGCAGUGAAAUGCGUAGAGAUCGGGAGGAACAUCUGUGGCGAAGGCGACUGCCUGGACCAGCACUGACACUGAGGCACGAAAGCGUGGGGAGCAAACAGG